UACGGAGGGGGCGAGCGUUAUUCGGAAUUAUUGGGCGUAAAGGGCGCGUAGGCGGCUGUACAAGUCAAAGGUGAAAUCCCUCGGCUCAACUGAGGAACUGCCUUUGAAACUGUACGGCUUGAGGCCGGGAGGGGGUAGCGGAAUUCCCAGUGUAGCGGUGAAAUGCGUAGAUAUUGGGAGGAACACCAGUGGCGAAGGCGGCUCACUGGACCGGUACUGACGCUGAUGCGCGAAAGCGUGGGGAGCAAACGGG
rnacentral:rRNA from 1 species